rnacentral:rRNA from 1 species
AAGUCGAGCGAAUGGNUUAAGAGCUUGCUCUUAUGAAGUUAGCGNNNNNNGNGUGAGUAACACGUGGGUAACCUGCCCAUAAGACUGGGAUAACUCCGGGAAACCGGGGCUAAUACCGGAUAACAUUUUGAACCGCAUGGUUCGAAAUUGAAAGGCGGCUUCGGCUGUCACUUAUGGAUGGACCCGCGUCGCAUUAGCUAGUUGGUGAGGUAACGGCUCACCAAGGCAACGAUGCGUAGCCGACCUGAGAGGGUGAUCGGCCACACUGGGACUGAGACACGGCCCAGACUCCUACGGGAGGCAGCAGUAGGGAAUCUUCCGCAAUGGACGAAAGUCUGACGGAGCAACGCCGCGUGAGUGAUGAAGGCUUUCGGGUCGUAAAACUCUGUUGUUAGGGAAGAACAAGUGCUAGUUGAAUAAGCUGGCACCUUGACGGUACCUAACCAGAAAGCCACGGCUAACUACGUGCCAGCNNCCNCGGUAAUACGUAGGUGGCAAGCGUUAUCCGGAAUUAUUGGGCGUAAAGCGCGCGCAGGUGGUUUCUUAAGUCUGAUGUGAAAGCCCACGGCUCAACCGUGGAGGGUCAUUGGAAACUGGGAGACUUGAGUGCAGAAGAGGAAAGUGGAAUUCCAUGUGUAGCGGNGAAAUG